UUUAGUGCGUUACCGCUACGGUUGAAGGGGGUGCACGCCCAUACUUCCCUGUGGGAACGUGGUUGAGAAAGUUUGGUUUUGGCUUAGGGUUGGCGUUUGUUUUGGUGGUGACAUAAUGGAUCUAUAAGGGGGGAGAGAGUAAUGCAGGCCUAAUGUGUGUCUUUGAAGAGGGCAAUAUAUGAGGGCUGGUGAGGAUGCUUAUCAGUGGCAACUAGGACGGGUAAUUAAUAUUCUCGAUACCAGUGGCGAAUUUUGGUUUAAGUCGGAAACGUCGAUUCAGAAAGAACAGUGGCGGGGAGGAAAGUGAGUGCCAGCACCUGCGGUUAGACUCACUCCCGCGUUAAUCUUUUCGUGAAUGAGUAGGUAUAAAAUUUAAAGAUUCUGUGGUUUAUAAUGGCGGUCAAAUGUGUUAUGAAUUGUUAUUUAAGGGUUUUGGAAAUAUGAAGCUUAGAAAGCUGUUUGUGAGACCGGGAUUUGAGACCCCGUUAUUAAGGGCGUAAGGAUUAUUUGCGGUUAGUAUGAACAUGUAAGUUGUUUAAAAUCCAAAAAAUUUGGCGGUACAUCAUAUUAGUCCAGGGGAACUUGACGUUUAAAUCGAUGAUCCUCGUUAUACUUUACCUCUUCUUAGCUUGCUAUACCGCCGUUGCCAGUUUGAUCUGCGGAUGGAUUAGUUUUAUUCGAGGAAAGUAAUGUCUGACGGGUGUGUCAGAUUAUUUAGGAGUUCAGGUAAACGUGGUGGAAAUGAAGAGGGGGCAGUUGAGUUACAUUGUGGAAUUGUUUGGAGGCAAGGGUGAAAAUCUUUGUAGAAAUUGGACUUGGCAGUAAGUUGUUUGUUAGAGUGGGUAUCUGAAUGGUACACUG
rnacentral:rRNA from 1 species